CAGGACUUAGCUCGCUUUGUGAACAGAUCUGUGAAAGCCUAUGUUCACAGUGGCUAAGUUCCGCU
ensembl:miRNA mir27a microRNA 27a